rnacentral:rRNA from 1 species
GAUGAACGCUGGCGGCGUGCCUAAUACAUGCAAGUCGAGCGAACAGAUGAUGAGCUUGCUCCUCUGACGUUAGCGGCGGACGGGUGAGUAACACGUGGAUAACCUACCUAUAAGACUGGGAUAACUUCGGGAAACCGGAGCUAAUACCGGAUAAUAUAUUGAACCGCAUGGUUCAAUAGUGAAAGACGGUUUUGCUGUCACUUAUAGAUGGAUCCGCGCCGCAUUAGCUAGUUGGUAAGGUAACGGCUUACCAAGGCAACGAUGCGUAGCCGACCUGAGAGGGUGAUCGGCCACACUGGAACUGAGACACGGUCCAGACUCCUACGGGAGGCAGCAGUAGGGAAUAUUCCGCAAUGGGCGAAAGCCUGACGGAGCCACGCCGCGUGAGUGAUGAAGGUCUUCGGAUCGUAAAACCCUGUUAUUAGGGAAGAACAAAUGUGUAAGUAACUAUGCACGUCUUGACGGUACCUAAUCAGAAAGCCCCGGCUAACUACGUG